GCCUGGUGCUUGCACCGGGUGGAUGAGUGGCGAACGGGUGAGUAACACGUGAGUAACCUGCCCCUGACUUCGGGAUAAGCCCGGGAAACUGGGUCUAAUACCGGAUACGACUGCCGGACGCAUGUCUGGUGGUGGAAAGUUUUUUCGGUUGGGGAUGGGCUCGCGGCCUAUCAGUUUGUUGGUGAGGUAAUGGCUCACCAAGACGACGACGGGUAGCCGGCCUGAGAGGGCGACCGGCCACACUGGGACUGAGACACGGCCCAGACUCCUACGGGAGGCAGCAGUGGGGAAUAUUGCACAAUGGGGGAAACCCUGAUGCAGCGACGCAGCGUGCGGGAUGACGGCCUUCGGGUUGUAAACCGCUUUCAGCAGGGAAGAAGCGCAAGUGACGGUACCUGCAGAAGAAGUACCGGCUAACUACGUGCCAGCAGCCGCGGUAAUACGUAGGGUACGAGCGUUGUCCGGAAUUAUUGGGCGUAAAGAGCUCGUAGGUGGUUGGUCACGUCUGCUGUGGAAACGCAACGCUUAACGUUGCGCGUGCAGUGGGUACGGGCUGACUAGAGUGCAGUAGGGGAGUCUGGAAUUCCUGGUGUAGCGGUGAAAUGCGCAGAUAUCAGGAGGAACACCGGUGGCGAAGGCGGGACUCUGGGCUGUAACUGACACUGAGGAGCGAAAGCAUGGGGAGCGAACAGGAUUAGAUACCCUGGUAGUCCAUGCCGUAAACGUUGGGCACUAGGUGUGGGGGGCAUUCCACGUUCUCCGCGCCGUAGCUAACGCAUUAAGUGCCCCGCCUGGGGAGUACGGUCGCAAGGCUAAAACUCAAAGGAAUUGACGGGGGCCCGCACAAGCGGCGGAGCAUGCGGAUUAAUUCGAUGCAACGCGAAGAACCUUACCAAGGCUUGACAUACACCGGACCGUCCUGGAAACAGGUCCUCUUCUUUGAAGCUGGUGUACAGGUGGUGCAUGGUUGUCGUCAGCUCGUGUCGUGAGAUGUUGGGUUAAGUCCCGCAACGAGCGCAACCCUCGUUCUAUGUUGCCAGCAUGUGAUGGUGGGAACUCAUAGGAGACUGCCGGGGUCAACUCGGAGGAAGGUGGGGAUGACGUCAAAUCAUCAUGCCCUUUAUGUCUUGGGCUUCACGCAUGCUACAAUGGCUGGUACAGAGAGAGGCGAACCCGUGAGGGCAAGCGAAUCCCUUAAAGCCAGUCUCAGUUCGGAUCGUAGUCUGCAAUUCGACUACGUGAAGUCGGAGUCGCUAGUAAUCGCAGAUCAGCAACGCUGCGGUGAAUACGUUNCCCGGGCCUUGUACACACCGCCCGUCAAGUCACGAAAGUCGGUAACACCCGAAGCCGGUGGCCUAACCGUAAGGAGGUGAGUUUGAUACCUGUG
rnacentral:rRNA from 1 species